GGGCCCGCACAAGCGGCGGAGCAUGCGGAUUAAUUCGAUGCAACGCGAAGAACCUUACCAAGGCUUGACAUAUAGAGGAAACGGCCAGAGAUGGUCGCCCCGCAAGGUCUCUAUACAGGUGGUGCAUGGUUGUCGUCAGCUCGUGUCGUGAGAUGUUGGGUUAAGUCCCGCAACGAGCGCAACCCUUGUCCUAUGUUGCCAGCGGUUCGGCCGGGAACUCAUGGGAGACUGCCGUGGUCAACACGGAGGAAGGUGGGGAUGACGUCAAAUCAUCAUGCCCCUUAUGUCUUGGGCUUCACGCAUGCUACAAUGGCCGGUACAGAGGGCUGCGAUACCGCGAGGUGGAGCGAAUCCCUUAAAGCCGGUCUCAGUUCGGAUUGGGGUCUGCAACUCGACCCCAUGAAGUCGGAGUCGCUAGUAAUCGCAGAUCAGCAACGCUGCGGUGAAUACGUUCCCGGGCCUU
rnacentral:rRNA from 1 species